AACGUAGGUGGCGAGCGUUAUCCGGAUUUACUGGGCGUAAAGGGCGCGUAGGCGGCCUUCUAAGUCAGACGUGAAAUCCCCCGGCUUAACCUGGGAACUGCGUCUGAUACUGGGAGGCUUGAGUAUGGGAGAGGGAUGUAGAAUUCCAGGUGUAGCGGUGAAAUGCGUAGAUAUCUGGAGGAAUACCGGUGGCGAAGGCGGCAUCCUGGACCAUAACUGACGCUGAGGCGCGAAAGCUAGGGGAGCAAACGGG
rnacentral:rRNA from 1 species